UGAGCAUGCAAACGACACGAGAUAGCAGUGUUUUAUAUUUGUCUCAUCGGUGUGUAGUUUGCGUGUAAGGGGAGCGGGCACAAACUAACGCUGGGUUAGUUGUAACACACGUGGUUUAAACGUUUCCACGCACACUGGGUACCAGCCGUGAGACCAGUGCUGUGAGCUUGCAAACUGGGCACUAAGACACAGCAACAUCCCCAUCACCAAAAGCAGCCUGCAGAUGUGCACCAUUACUGGGGAAAGAAGCGGGAUCAAGGCUCCAUAGUAUGGAAGAAGGAUCCCACAACGAAAUGAAAAAAUAAGAGAAGAAAGUCAGUCAUACACAUCUGGGAUGGCAUGAGGGUUGGUUACCAUGACAAUGGUGGCAGUGUUCUGUUCCCAGAUCAUCCUCCAGAAGUCAUUGACUGUCUCCUCCUUUGGCC